GUGGAGUCUUUGGAGGAAGAAUUGGUGGUAUCCGCGGAGAAACUGGUGGCGUACGUGGAGGAGCUGUUGGUGGAGUUCUUGGGGUCCUUGGUGGAGGAGGUGGUGGAGUUCUUGGGGUUCGUGGUGGAGGAGGUGGUGGAGUUCUUGGGGUUCGUGGUGGAGGAGGUGGUGGAGUUUUUGGGGUUCGUGGUGGAGGAGGUGAUGGAGUUCUUGGGGUUCGUGGUGGAGGUGGUGUUCUAGGGCGGGGACGGCUAUUAGAUUCAGCGUGGCCAAUGAGGAGGAUGGUGAAUGCGAAGAAGAGGGCU
rnacentral:lncRNA from 1 species